rnacentral:lncRNA from 1 species
CUAUGCGUUUCUUGCUUAUAUGUCCAAGACGACAAUGCCAUAAUGAUGCUUUAUCCAAGUUAUUAUUAUUAAUAGAAUCAAUACACAUCACAUUAUUUCCUAAGUUAUCAACCACAGAUACUGUUUCAUACACGCCAUCACAAGGUAAUGCUUUAAAAUAAAGAACAUUAUUAAAGAAAGCAUCAAUAGAACCAACUUCAUUAUUAAAUGAAAAGGUAAAACCUUGUUUAUACAAUGCAUGAAAGGAAAUAAUAUUUCUUGCCAUUUCUGGCGAGUAACAACAUUUAUUCAAAUCUAAAUUAAACCCACUACUUAGCGAUAAAGUAUAAACUCCAAUCUUGGUGACAGGUGUAACUUUCCUAUUCCCCAUGAUUAAGUUUAUUCUUCCUUGCUCCACAUUCUCACUUCUUCUUAGUCCCUGCAAGUCACAACAAAUAUGAAUACCACAACCGGUAUCAAGGACGCAAGAAUUAUAAUGGGGUGAGUUAUUAGAAAUGAUAGUGUAAAUACCUGCAUGGUUGGGUUUAACUUUCCCAUCCUUCACAUCUUGCUGGUAUUUUGGGCAGUUCCGCUUCCAAUGUGAUUUUUCAUGGCAAUAGAAGCAUUCAGCCUCUUUUGGGUCAGAAGAAGGAGUGACGAAACCUUUCUUGGUUCCACUUGAAGAAGAGCCAUCAAGGGUCCUGAUGUGCACAAAAGUACCCACUAAUUAUAAUAUUUAUAACCUAACAAACUUAAACUAACUACGCACUUGUAGGCAGUGUACCUAGUCAGAUUACAGUAUAGUUUGGGUAAGUCGGGUGUCGAUCACACAGGGAACGGUGUUACUAAUUAAUUUACUUACUAUUAAAUUAACCUAAUUAUUAACAAGUUUAAAAGGGGUUUUAUCUGAUUUUACAAGAUCAGACGAACUUAAAUCCAAAUUCAAUAAAUAAAAACACACUCUUGUUUAGUUUGAAUCCAGUUCUUUCUUAUGGCUAGCUAAUGUUUAUGGAUCAUCUAGUUAGUUUUAAUUAUAUUAGUAAUUUAGUUCUAAUUUUACCAAUAAUUAACUANAUGUCAAACCAUGUAUGUUCACGCAUAAUUAAACACAGAACUAAUUAUGAAUGUAAAUAUGCUAUGAAAGAUUUGUUAUAUAAACACAAUUAUAGUCACAAUGCACGUUCUCUAACAUAGCUAAGCUCCUUUACUGUAAUUACUAACUAAGAUUGGUCAAUCCUAGUUCUAACAAUUCAAUGUUCACUAAAUCAUUAGGUAAACAAGUUCAUGCAGUUAAUGGUCACUAAGCUACACCGAACAUGCAAUCAAGCAAUUAGAUAAACAAACAUAAGCAUGCUAGGUAAUACAAAUCAAACACAUGCAAUUUUACCAACUAAACUAAUCCAUGAAAAUUGAGCUAUUCAUAAGUUAGAAACUUCGUCUAGCUAAACAAGAGUAGCUAGAUUCAGCUACUCAUCAUAGCAACUAACAAAAUAACAUAAGUUGAAGUAAUAGAAAACAUGUUCUUAAUUAACUAAAAUAUAGACCUUUACUAUUUUUGGUGUUGAAAACCUUUUUCCAGAACCUUUCUUUCGCUCAAAAUCGCCUUCUGGAACUCCUUUCUUCAGCCAAAAAGUUGCUCUUUCGUAAUGAUCAAUAAUACUUAAAUAGACUCCAAAAUCCCGCGCCACGUCGUGGCUAUCCAGGCCACGUUGUGGGCUCCAAGUUAUCCGUAUUGGGAAAGGAUUCCUCCAUAACGCGAUCUUUAUCUUCUAGAAUUCUCAUGCCACGUUGUGGAUUUAGUAUUUUUCGUGGAUUUAUUCAUCUCUUGUCUUCCAAGUCUCCCAUGUUCUACAUAUUGUCAGUUUUUGUCCCUCUCUUCGAAAAUCCUUUUUGUUGACUGAAAAUAACAUUUUAAAGUCAUAAGUACCAUUAUUCUAAACAUAUUAUCAACUUAUUAAUAAAAAUGUACUUAAAUAUUGCCUAAAAAUAGGAAUAAAUAUGGCAAUAUCAAAAUACCCCACACUUAGACUUUGCUUGCCCUCAAGCAAAUUUAAACUUAACCCUUAAUUACUAACAUCACAUAGAACAAUCCGACUCCAGCUCAGCCAUUAUGCCAAGACCUCAAUGCAUGCAUUUGUGUCUAAAAUUUUCCUAAAGUACCCCCCAUACUUUAAAUACUCACAAUCUUCAUAAACACUCGCCCACUUUUUCCGAACAAUGCUCAUUUUAUGCAACCCUCCGAAUCCAUCCGCAGAAAACCUCCUUAUCCUCAAGGUAUUUUUAGUUGAGCAACCUAAGCAUACAUAAUCUAGAAUUACAAUCUAUGAUACCACUAUGGAGCUCUUUUGGAAUUCUUCACUUCCUUGAUAAUUUGAUCUUUGAUUUCUUUGAAUUCACCACCUUAUUUGAUUUGAUUUCUGGUAUCUUCAACUUUUUGAAUUUCUUGGAAUUUUGAUCUUUUGAUCUUCACUUUAAUUGCUCCAAAAUUCUUCAAACUUUUCUUGCAAUUCUCUCUUUUUUUUUUUUUUUUUUUAUUUUUACAUGUACCUCACUUUUUUUCACUCAAAACCUACAUGCUUAAGCAGAGGCGCUCAACCUCAACCUUUAUUGGUUAAUGAUAAUAAUUUUCCUGGAUACAUUUCAGGUUUAGGCUGCUAAACAUAUUGCAUCCCUCAAACCAAGCGGGGUUAUGUUUUUGUUCCAUGAUUUCACUAAAAUAAGGGAGGCCACAAAUGCACUAUAACGUGUAUUGGCUCAACUAAACAUUUGAACUUUUAUCGGAUCAUCCCACAUAACACUAGCAACUACAGUUCAAAUUAUUAUUACUAGAUUCAAUUAUUAAAAAUUUCAAUUUUUAAAUUUUCAAUUUUACUAUCAAAUUCUAUCAUUAUCUAGCAAUUUACUUUUUCUACCCCUAUCCCACACUUAUUUCAUACAAUGCCCUAAUUGUAUGCAUAAAAAUAAAUCAAAAUUAAAGAAUAGGGAGAAAAAGGAACAGACUCCCCUGGGAUAGUGGCGUGAACAUCUCCAAAAGUGUGGAACUGGACGAAGGACCUCCAAAAAAUAGAAAGUUGGUGUAGAACUGGACAAAUAUGUAAAUAAACCACGAACAUGACUCGAAACUUCAAUUCUUCAAAGUGGAUGCUAGUAAGUAGAAGAAUGUGGGAAAGGAUAAACUGAUACACGUCGUGGCAAAAAGCACCACGUCGUGAUAUAAGAUGAAAAUGCGAACAUCAGGUUGCUUUAAUUCUUCAAUUUCCAUGAGCGCCACGAUGUGGCGAAAGAAGCCCACGUCGUGGAAACUGAACAUCAACAAGAAUGCCUUAUUGCUUCAUACAUCCUAGCAGCUUGACCAAUGUCUAAAUGGUUUAAGACUCUUCUAUGUAAAUAUACUUCCCAACUGUAACCUCUCUCCUACUAACGUACCCCACACUUAUCUUGAAUUGUUUUUUCCAACUCACGACUCUAAGCUUCCUUAACUUGACUAGACAAACACGAUAUGCUCCUGAGAAUUCCAAUGCUAAUCUGAAAAAAACGGAACAACCCAAAAGAAAUAAAAGAGUAACAUCAUAGUUCAAGAAAGUCUUACAUUACAGACCAAACUCAAACAUAAAAGAAAACACUACUUAAAACAAAACAAAAUAAAAAAAAAUCAAUCAUCAUCUCCUUGGUCCUGCCCCGUCAUUUUGUGGAUGCCAAAGCUCCUCCCAUGUAGGAAAAUAAGGAUAUUGCGGUGGCAUAGAAGGUGGCCGGGUCACACCCAAAUGCGAAUAAAUACCCUUAGUAAGCUGGGUAUGAUAAAUGGCAUGCCCCCGGAGGUUAUCCAAAUAAGUUCCCACCCGACUCUGAAAAGGGUCGGUAGGCACUCCCUGUAUAUGCUGUGAAGUAGCACGCUCUCUCUCCAUCUCUCCUCUAGCUCGCACAUUUUGACGCCGCGGUCUGGCUGGUGGUUGCUGCCCUGGCUGCGCCUCCUCUUGUUCCUCAUCUAUCGGAGGUAUAACAAAACAACCCCCGAUAUUCACCACUGCCCGCAUAACUCCCAAGACUUGAAUGGUUAAAUCAGUGUCUGGGAAUCAGGUAAGAUUCCUCACAAAGUCGUGGGUCAAAAUAUGAUACGACCUAGCAAGGCGAGUAACCAAAUGCCCCCCUGUAAUCGGACUCCCGGGCCUAGAAUUAGCCGCUUUCUUCCCCAUGAACCUCGCCAACAUAUACGGUAAAUCACAGCAAACCCCAGGGGUAAUAAGAGUCCACAGAUAAAACAAAUUCUAAAUAGGGACUUUAUCGCCAUGAUGCUUGUGAUUUAUAUAAAAAGUGAUAAGGCGAUGUAGAAAUCGGAAAACAGGAUCUGAAUUUGUGACUCACUCGAGUCACGAGUAUUAUACUCAUAGUUGGAAAUACCCCGCCAGAACUGGACAUCCAUAAUACCGGGAUUAAAAUCCCGAACACAUCCAAGUAGGAAUGGUAUGAAAAAUGGAGAUUGAUUCUCCACUUCGGUAUAAAGCCCCAUCCGCCAAGCGAAUUCCCGAAGACUACACUCCCUAUAAACACCACCCAAACGAAACACAAGUGCCCGGUUGUAAGUAAAAUCAAUGGUGCGUUCCUCGAAGCAUAUGGUAGAGAAAAACUCCACCGAUAACUCCCAGUAUACGGGUUCUUGAAUUGCAAACAAAUUCCUCCACUCGUGACAAGUGAAAGAAAAUUGAUCCCCUUCGUAUGUUUUCGUCCAAUAGCGUUCCAAUUCAGCAACCAUUCCCACACCACCGAGCCAUCCCCAAUCGAUAAUUGGGGCUAUCGCAAAUUCCCUAUUGUACAACCAUCCCAACCGAUUUUCAUAUGUAGUCAACAAUGGUCGGGGAAUGUUUUGUGGAAACUGAUAUAAAGGAUGUAUACUCGCCACAUCAAUCGGGUUUUCCUCCUGUGGAAUAGCUCUUCGAGGUCCCAUUUAUGCAUACAAAAUGAAACCAAAACAGCAAACACCCAAAACAUUAAAACAAAUAAAACUGAUUGCCAGGAAUCACGACGUGGCCAGGCUCGCCACGUCGUGGACCGCAGUCGAAACCUGUGUAUAGACCGGUUAGUUUGUAUGCGAUUUCAACCAAAAAUAAUGCUUGGGGUUUGUUCCUAUGGAUAUUUAAGGGACAUGCAACCUAGAAUCAACAACUAGUUUCAACCAAUUUCGUGAAUCUCAUUAUUUACAUAAACCCUAACCAUGAAAAUUUAAAAUUGUAAGAAAUAACUACAAUUAAUGGGUAGAACACAUACCAAAUAGAGUUAAAUGACAAGAACUUGCAAGGAAUUUGGAAGCAAAUUAAGAAAUUGGCUGUGGGGACCUUGUUCCCGUUCGUGCGGCAGUAGCAAAUGGGAAUGGGGAAUGUGCGGUCAAAGGGUUUUAAAGAAAUGGUCCCCCCGUGAAUUUUUAAAGGCCACGUCGUGGCUGGCUAUGCCACGUCGUGGACUUUGAAAAUUCAUCUGAUCCCGUGAUUGCACUUUUACCACGACGUGGCUCUAUUAGACCACGACGUGGCAUAUGCCUGAUUGCCAAAUUUUAUAAAAUUACACAUUUUAACUAACUACUUCGCAUUUUAUUUAUUAAUUAAAGUUCCCCACAGCUAAUUCUUUACUAAGUAUCAGUUAUUAGAGAUGAGUUGAUAUCUUUCCUAAAAAAAACUCAAAAAUUAAAAGAAAAGAAAUUGCAAACCAAGCUCGGGUUGCCUCCCGAGAAGCGCUCCUUUUUCUUGGAGUCUUGAGCUGGACUCCGUGCCUUCUACGUUGAAUCUUCUGAAGAGUCCACCACUAAAAUCUUUUGUUCCUUGAAUCGCCUCUUGUAAGCUUGAACUCACCUUUUAUAUGCCUUCUUUGAAUUCUCUUUUUUAGCUUUGACCUCUUCUUCAAGCUUGCGUUGUGUGCCCUUAAUUUCUUCCUUGUACUCUAUAGCAUCCUCCUCCUCUUUCACCACCGACUUUGUCACUCUUGAAGUGACCUCCUCUUCAUCACUUGUCAUUUCCUCAUCCUCUUUGCUCACCCAAGAAGGCGGACUCUUGUAAGCUAUGACUUCAACCAAGAAUGGAACAAAUGCCCUCGGUUUUGUUCUUUUGACUUGAUAAACUGCCUUGAUCUCUUCUUCCAUAAGCUUUUCCAGUUCUUCUAGUUCAUUGUCUUUGUUAAUUGUGAAUACCUCUUCUUGAACAUGAUCCUCUUGGAAGUCAUCUUGUAUUCCAAAAACUUCUUGUUCAUCUCCAACCCUCAAAGUGAGUUUAGACUCACGAAUAUCAACAAGAGCUCAUGUAGUGUUAAGCAAUGGAUGACCAAGGAUAAUUGGGACAUCGGGGUCUUCCACUAUGCCCCGGGGUUGUGUCAAAUCUAUUGGAAAAACAAAUUUUCCAAUUUUCACUAAAAUAUCCUCCACUAUGCCCCGGGGUUGUGUCACUGAACGGUUCGCCAUGUGAAUCGUCAUUUUUGCAGCCUUCAUCUUCUGAAUUUCCAAUUUUUGAUAAAAUGAAAAAGGCAUCAAAUUAAUGCUAGCCCCAGAAUCGGCUAAAACAUUAACCUUCAUUUUAUUACCAAACUCACACGGAAGAGUGAGGCGUUCAGGAUCCCCCAUCUUCUCUGGUGUCUCUCCCAAAACGACUUUUGAGCUUUGUUCACUUAGAACCACCUUAGACUGCUUCUUUAAUUGCUUGCGAGUGUCUAUCAAAUCUUGCAGUAAUUUUUGAUACUCGGGAGUUUUGGAUAAAGACUCGAAAAAGGGAGUAUUAAUCGGGAUCCCCUUUACAUGCUUGAGAAACUCUAUAUGCUCCUUCUCCAGUAGACUAAGUGCAGCUCGGGAUGGAUAUGGCAAGGGAGGCUGAUAAACCUGAACGGGUUCAAAGACUUGUUGAUCAGACACAGGCCACGUCGUGGCCAAAGGGGUGCCACGUCGUGGCGAAGCUGUUUCAGCAACCCUUUCACUUUCGAACUUUGGCUUCUUUGGUUUUGGAUCGGGCUGCUGUGGUUCUUCUUCCAAUGCCUCCAGGAAUUCAGAGAUUGCUUCUUCUUCAGUAUUGAUGGCCAUUACAUGAGAUUGGGUCUUUACUUCGGGAUUCUUCGGGGACAAUUUUUCAUGAACCAGAGUGGCUAGUUGACCAAAUUGUACUUCAAGGUUAUGGAUGGAGGCUUGCUGAUUCUUUAUUAAAGUUUGUUGUUCCAUAAUAGCAGAAUCAGUGGCAUCGUAUCUCUUUUCCGAAGCUUCCAUAAACUUCAUCAAAAUGGUCUCUACAUCGGGUUUCUUCUCGGCUGAUGGCUGCUCCUUUUGAUAAAAGCCUCAACCUGUCUGCCUAUACUUCUCUUCUUUUUGCUUCUUAUACUCUUCAUAUGGCAGCCACUCCUUCUUCGGUUUCCUCCAGUCCUCAUCAAACUUAUCCCAACUAGAGUAGCACACUUGGGCUUUUCUGUUCCCAAACUCAUCUAAAUUGCAGUCCCCGGCAACGGCGCCAAAAACUUGAUGUGCACAAAAGUACCCACUCUUAUGGCAUGUAUUGACUGGUCCAUUUGUGUUAUUCUUCGAUCCAAAUUAUUCAUCAUGGCCAUUACAGCUGCUAUUUCUUCAGUUUGGGUUCCUCCACCGUCUUUGACUCCAUCUUGCCUAGGGUUGUGGUAUUCGCGAGAGUGCUUCACGAAUUCUUCAAUCAGCUCCUUAACCUCCCUUGGAUUUUUCUUUGUCAAAGGUCCUUGAGAAUCAAGGAGUUGUCUCGUCAUAACGUUGACCCCAUCAUAGAAGAUCGACAUCUCUUGUUGCACAUUUAGAUCAUGCUGAGGGCAAUUUCUGAGCAAGCCCUUGUACCGCUCCCAUGCUUCGUAUAAUGACUCCCCCGGCUAUUGCUCAAAUUUGGCUAUUACCUUCUUGAGUUUGGCUAUCUUGGAUGGCGGGCAAAACUGGUCCAGGAAUUGCUCACGCAUUUGAGCCCAAGUGGUAAUUGUACCCGGUGGAAGUGAUUUUAACCACUCCUUAGCAGCUCCUUUGAAAGUGAUGGGAAGCAUCCUAAGCAAGACUGUGUUUCUGUUGACAUUUGGGACAUUGAAGUAAUCCGCAAUGUCGUUGACUUCAUCUAGAUGCUUAAAAGCAUCCUCAUGAUCUUUCCCAAAAAAUGGGAUAUCCUUCAGUGCAGUCAAUAUGUGCCCCUUCAACUCGAAUGUGGCAGUGGCAGGUAUUGCGGGUUGGACUAAACCGGGACCCAUAUCUUCUCGGAUCCGCUUCUUGUAAGCUCCCAUGGACAUCUCUUCAAUUGCUGCCAUCUCGUUCCUUGGCUCGUUCUCGGGUUCGCUCGUGUGUUCUUCAAAUUCCGGCUCGGUAUCGCAUUCGGACUCGGUUUGGACGGGUGUUUGAUCCAAGUGCUCAAAAUUGCUCUUGUGCCUCGCGGAUGAACUUGACUCUCCUGUCUUCUUUCCCGACUUCCUUGAAAAAGCUGACUUCAAUUCUUGUAAGGGCGUCUUUUUCUUGUGAAUUGCAGACUCGGGAUCUUCAAGUGGUGGCACCAAGGGUGUGUUUGAGCCUCUGGUCAUGAACUCCUGCAACUUGCUAAACUAAAAACGUAAAACUGCACUAAAAUAAGAAAACUAACUAACGACUAAAAAUCUAGUGUUCUAGAUGUCCACGUUGUGGCACGUAUCUGGCCACGUCGUGGACUCUGUGACUGAAAGAAAAACUAUACUUUGCUGAAAAAUUCACUUUUUGUGGUUUUUUUACUCCACAAGAAGGAUCGAUUACUUUAAUGCAAAUAAAUAAGCUAAAAACUAAGCCGUUCCCCGGCAACGACGCCAAAAACUUGAUGUGAACAAAAGUACCCACUAAUUUUAAUAUUUAUAACCUAACAAACUUAAACUAUCUAUGCACUUAUAGGCAGUGUACCUAGUCGGAUUACAGUAUAGCUUAGGUAAGUCGGGUGUCGAUCACAGGGAACGGUGUUACUAAUUAAUUUACUUACUAUUAAAUUAACCUAAUUAUUAACAAGUUUAAAAGGGGUUUUAUCUGAUUUUACAAGAUCAAACGAACUUAAAUCCAAAUUCAAUAAAUAAAAACACACUCUUGUUUAGUUUGAAUCCACUUCUUUCUUAUCGCUAGCUAAUGUUUAUGGAUAAUAUAGUUGGUUUUAGUUGUAUUAGUAAUUUAGUUCUAACUUUACCAAUAAUUAACUAAUUCAUGUCAAACCAUGUAUGUUCACACAUAAUUAAACACAGGACUAAUUAUGAAUGUAAAUAUGCUAUGAAAGAUUUGUUAUAUAAAUGCAAUUAUAGUCACAAUGCACGUUCUCUAACACAGCUAAGCUCCUUUACUCUAAUUACUAACUAAGAUUGGUCAAUCCUAGCUCUAACAAUUCAAUGUUCACUAAAUCAUUAGGUAAACAAGUUCAUGCAGUUAAUGGUCACUAAGCUACACCGAACAUGCAAUCAAGCAAUUAGAUAAACAAACAUAAGCAUGCUAGGUAAUACAAAUCAAACACAUGCAAUUUUACCAACUAAACUAAUCCAUAUAAAUUGAGCUAUUCAUAAGUUAGAAGCUUCAUCUAGCUAAACAAGAGUAGCUAGAUUCAGCUGCUCAUCAUAGCAACUAACAAAAUAACAUAAGUUGAAGUAAUAGAAAACAUGUUCUUAAUUAACUAAAAUAUAGAACUUUACUCUUUUUGGUAUUGAAAACCUUUUUCUAGACCCUUUCUUUCGCUCAAAAUCGCCUUCUGGAACUCCUUUCUUCAGCCAAAAAGUUGCUCUUUCGUAAUGAUCAAUAAUACUUAAAUAGACUCCAAAAUCCCGCGCCACGUCGUGGCUAUCCAGGCUACGUUGUGGGCUCCAAGUUAUCCGUAUUGGGAAAGGAUUCCUCCAUAACGCGAUCUUUAUCUUCUAGAAUUCUCAUGCCACGUUGUGGAUUUAGUAUUUUUCGUGGAUUUAUUCAUCUCUUGUCUUCCAAGUCUCGCAUGUACUACAUAUUGUCACUUUUGGUCCCUCUCUUCGAAAAUCCUUUUUGUUGACUGAAAAUAACAUUUUAAAAUCAUAAGUACCAUUAUUAUAAACAUAUUAUCAACUUAUUAAUAAAAAUGUACUUAAAUAUUGCCUAAAAAUAGGAAUAAAUAUGGCAAUAUCAGGUCCUAACCUUGGUACCCUUGGAAGAACUCUUUCUCUUCUUCCCUCGUCCUUUCCCGAUUGCCAAGACAGGGGCGGAGUUAGUAGGAGUAGGAGUAACAAUCACCUUACCCUUAAGACCACUUUCCACGGUCUUUAAGAGUCCUUGAAGUUUGCUGAGUGUGACCUCUUCCUUGUUCAUGUGGUAUGUCAUGCGGAAUUGAUCAUAACAUGAAGGUAAGGAGUGCAAAAUGAUAUCUAUUGCAAGCUCCUCGGGGAAGUUCACAUUAAGCUUCAGCAAACGGUCC